AAUCAACGCUGGCGGCGUGCCUCAGACAUGCAAGUCGAACGCGAAAGCUCCCUUCGGGGAGCAAGUAGAGUGGCGCACGGGUGAGUAACACGUAGGUAAUCUACCUUUGGAUGGGGAAUAACAACCGGAAACGGCUGCUAAUACCGCAUAAUGCAGCGGCACCUAAUGGUGACAGUUGUUAAAGCGGGGGAUCGCAAGACCUCGCGUCUGAAGAGGAGCCUGCGGCAGAUUAGCUAGUUGGUAAGGUAACGGCUUACCAAGGCGAUGAUCUGUAGCCGGCCUGAGAGGGCGGUCGGCCACACUGACACUGACAUACGGGUCAGACUCCUACGGGAGGCAGCAGUCGGGAAUUUUGGGCAAUGGGCGAAAGCCUGACCCAGCAACGCCGCGUGAAGGAUGAAAUCCCUCGGGAUGUAAACUUCGCAAGAACGGGAAGAAUAAGUCGGUGUAAACACCACCGACGAUGACGGUACUGUUUGUAAGCUCCGGCUAACUCCGUGCC
rnacentral:rRNA from 1 species